UGAAAAUAAACGCAGUUGACAGUGAGGACGUUUCUUUUUUUGCUGAGUUUAGUAGCACAUUCGAUUGUGCGUCAAGAAUUCAGCAUAGCCAGUUUGUAUGAAGGUCUGGUUAUUAAAUGGGUAAAUAGUUCAAUAGUAAUAUGCUCCAAAACGCUCUGUUGACAAACAAACUUUGCUGCCCUGUUUCCAAUUGUCCACAUGGCUGGGAGAACCUAUUCAAGUUUUCUGUCCUGAUAAAGAAGGCUAUGAAAGCCUGUCUACAGAUGAAGAGGUCUCAAUGAAGAGCAGUGGUUCUCAGUCCUGGUCCUGGGGACUCAAAGGUUAUAUCAGCUGUGUCGGUGAACCCCUCCCGCAUCUGAACUGGCUACAUAGAGGACACAGCAUGACCAUAGAGAGGACGCCAACCCCCAGUCCCGUCAUCGCCACCUCACCCGCUCUUAAAAUAACCUUCGGGCCAACUGGGAGCCCAUGGCUGGUUAGGAGACACCACUAGAGACACUAUUAUGUAAUUGUGAUGAACUGAGAGAGUAUUAGGGUAGCACUGUGAUUCAUUAAUCAUAUGCUGUCUUCCCUGCUCCUCUGUUCUUACCUCUUUCCCUUUCUUUUACACCUUUCUCGCCACCUCUUUCUUCCUCUGUUUUUAUAAUGCACAACAGAUGUGCAUUGAAGUAAAGAUUGAAUUUAUAUUCAUAAUAUUUAUAAUGCAUGUAUUUAUAACACUUGGAUAAUGAACUUCCAAUAAAGCAUUUCACAUUCUCUA